ACACAUGCAAGUCGAGGGGCAGCGCGGGAUAGCAAUAUCCUGGCGGCGACCGGCGGAAGGGUGCGUAACGCGUGAGCGACAUGCCCGUUGCCCGGGGACAACCGGUGGAAACGCCGACUAAUCCCCGAUGGGAUACGAUGCUUCAUGGCAUUGUAUUGAAAGUUACGGCGGCGACGGAUUGGCUCGCGUCCGAUUAGCUUGUUGGCGGGGUAACGGCCCACCAAGGCUACGAUCGGUAGGGGUUCUGAGAGGAAGGCCCCCCACAAUGGGACUGAGACACGGCCCAUACUCCUACGGGAGGCAGCAGUGAGGAAUAUUGGUCAAUGGGCGGAAGCCUGAACCAGCCAUGCCGCGUGCGGGAAGGAGGCCCUAUGGGCUGUGAACCGCUUUUGCCUGGGGGCAAUAAGGGCGUCGCGCACGUCCGAUGAGAGUACCAGGCGAAUAAGCAUCGGCUAACUCCGUGCCAGCAGCCGCGGUAAUACGGGGGAUGCGAGCGUUAUCCGGAUUCAUUGGGUUUAAAGGGUGCGUAGGCUGUGCGUCAAGUCGGGGGUGAAAUUCCGGUGCUCAACACCGGGGCUGCCCUUGAUACUGUCGCGCUGGAGUG
rnacentral:rRNA from 1 species